UACAGGGGGUGCAAACGUUGCUCGGAAUUAUUGGGCGUAAAGCGCGCGUAGGCGGCUACUUAUGUCGGAUGUGAAAGCCCUUGGCUCAACUGAGGAAGUGCACCCGAAACUGAGUAGCUGGAGUACGAAAGAGGGUCGCGGAAUUCCCGGUGUAGAGGUGAAAUUCGUAGAUAUCGGGAGGAACACCAGUGGCGAAGGCGGCGAUCUGGGUCGAUACUGACGCUGAGGUGCGAAAGCGUGGGGAGCAAACAGG
rnacentral:rRNA from 1 species